rnacentral:rRNA from 1 species
GACGAACGCUGGCGGCGUGCUUAACACAUGCAAGUCGAACGGAAAGGCCCUGCUUUUGUGGGUUGCUCGAUUGGCGAACGGGUGAGUAACACGUGAGUAACCUGCCCUUGACUUUGGGAUAACUUCAGGAAACUGGGGCUAUUACCGGAUAUGAGCUUCUGCUGCAUGUUGGUGGUUGGAAAGUUUCGGCGGUUGGGGAUGGACUCGCUGCUUCUCAGCUUGUUGGUGUGGUAGUGGCUUACCAAGGCUUCGACGGAUAGGCGGCCUGAGAGGGUUACCGGCCACAAGGGGACUGAGAUACGGACCAGAAGCCUACGGGAGGCAGCAGUGGGGAAUAUUGCAAAGUGAGCGGAAGCCUGAUGCAGAAACGCCGAGUGCGGGAUAACGGCCUUCGGGUUGUAAACCGAUUUCGCAGGUGACGAAGAGUGAGUGACGGUAAUGGGUAAAGAAGCAACGGCUAACUACGUG